CUCCCUCCCGCAAGCACACAGAUCCUCUCUUCUCUCCAUGUAGUCACUACUUGGGGAAGGGGAAUGGGUGGUAUCAGCAAUUCAAGACUGAUUUCUUUUCCAUCUUCAGCGCCCCUUUCCUUGAUAUGAUGUUAAAACCAGAACAAGAAACAGAUCGAGGAAGAGGCAGAGUAACAACAGCCGGGAAGAAGAUACAGUUUUGUCAUUUUGUAGUGAGACUGUGCCCUAUACAUGAACCUAUUUGCCAGACCCAUCAAGUGAAUUCCGUGAUUCUUAUGAAAAAUGCCAUUAGACCUGUGAGAGGGGCUGUGACAGUGGAACCCGAAUGAAGACAGGAAAAGUCUGUAGAGGACUGAUGGUUAUGUUCACCAUUCAAAUUGCAAGAAAACCAAUAAGAAGUCAGUAAAGUGCAUUCAAAGAGAAAGGUGGGACUCGUGAAGGGGCCAAGGGAAAAGAGCUUCAUUAGCAUAUUUGUCAAGCAGAUGUGAAAUGAGGCAGAAAACUACUAGAACAAUUGGAGAAAUCUAGAAUAUGAAGUUCCAGCACAAACUUAGAUGGCUUCUAACUAUGUGAAGGUUUGAACAGCAGCUUCUGACAUAGAAAAUAACCACAGCAAAAAGAAGCACUAACAAGUGACAGAUGUGGUUGACUCAUCUCCUUCUCCCUUCGACUCUCUAAUGAGCAAUUAAAUAGCCUGAAACAGAACAAUCAAGAGGUCUGGCAAAUCCACACACUAGAUGAUGAAGAAAUGUACAUCCAAGGAAAAUCAAACCAAGUAAAGGAGGAAAAACUUUGAGUUCUGCUUAAGGUCUAGGACUUCCUAAGGCUCAUUCCAGCUCCUCCAGAUGAAGGCAUUUUCUAAGCAGGAGACAAUUACAACAGCAAUACUAAACUGAUACACAAAGGAUCCCCGUACUUCAUCAAAAUAUCAAUGUUGUCCAUGACACACAAAGAACCCAGCUGUAGUUUAAUUCAGCAUCACAGUCCCAACAUGUUUUAAAACAUGUUCCAGCUUUUGGUCCCAGGAUUAUUCAACCUAGCUCAUAAAAGAAAACAAUAUUGCAUUUCUAAGUAUUGGCUCCUAGAAUUGGCAAGUUUAGUCAAGAAAAGCUGGAAUGCCGUUAAAACAACACCCUGUCAUCUUUCAAUCAGUCCUUAGCUGAAGUUAAAAUCCCACUCAUUCUGCAUGAUCCAGCCUCUGUAGCAUAGAGUGAGUAGCCCCUUAACAAGAACCAAAAUGGAGGGUACGGAUGAGGCUCAGAUCGUCACCACCUGGAGAAUAGAGACAGUGACUGAGUCACCAGGAAAUCUGUCCCCUGCUCAUCCCAGAAUCCCCGAGCUUUGACUUUUUAAGAGAACAUGUGACAGAUAAUGCCAUCUGAGAAGCUUAGGCAACUCAGUCAUCAAUGUGUCCUCGAGAAGAGCAUAUCCCCAAAUUGGAAAAUAAUCCUUCAGGGCAUCUGAACAUAACCACAUUUGGCUUACUUUGUGAAGCAGUUGUCUGAAUAGAAUAAGACUGGCUUGGAACGAGAUUCACAGAGCAACCAAAUAAAGAUGAUUGAGUGAAUGGCUAAAGAAAUAAAUAUGUUCGAAUCUGUACCCAUCUCAUGUCUUUCCUGAUGAUUGCCUCCUUUACUGUAUGUUUUCCACUGAGAUGAAGAUUUUGGUCAUUUCCUCAUUCAUGUUCCUGCUUUUCAAAACCCAAGCAAGAAAGGAAACUUCUACAGUGACUUUCUCAUUAUGAAAUCUUAGCAUUCACUAGUCGGCCAUAAUGGAAAACCAGCCAAAUGGACACAUAUACACUGGUCUGUACCCGCAGAGAAAGAAAUGCAAAUCUCUGUGAUCAGAAAACUAUCCUAUCUUGUACAUUGUUAAAAGUCUGCCUCCAAAAAGUUUACUUCUGGAAUACUGUAAUUGAAUAGAAUCAGGGAUCCUACCUGUGUCCUUCAACUUUCACAUCUUGUCUACUCAAGUAAGGGUUGAAUUUGCAUGACUAUAUCUAAGGUUCGAGGGCUUACCUGUUGGCAGUAGACCCAGUAGUCUAUGAAUGGAAAUGGGCAAACCUGUGACCUCCCAAAACUUUAAUAUGAAAGUUUUGUUUGUGUAUACUCAUGGCAUUAUUCUUUUAAUAAA
rnacentral:lncRNA from 1 species